CUUCACGGACCCGAGCCACAGGGGCUGCUCGCCGGCGCGCUCCUGGCCGUAGGUGGCGAGCAGUGCCUGGGCCUC
rfam:Streptomyces auratus AGR0001 genomic scaffold Scaffold6, whole genome shotgun sequence.